rnacentral:lncRNA from 1 species
UCCAAAUUUUUUUCUGAAAUUAUUUUUCCAUCAGUUUUCUGUCAGAAGAAGCAGUGCGUUUACAUUGACGAAUCAAGAUUACUUCAUGAGUAGAUAAAACAUGGCAUUCUUUUUCAACUAUUCUGGCAAUCAGCAUAAACAACAGACCCCAGUGAAAGAUGAAUUUUAGGUUUCAACUUCAGAAAAGCCAAGGAUCUGUCCAAAAUAUUGGCAGCCACAAUAAAAGUUUCUGGAGAAGAUUCAAAAAAAGUAGAGUCUCAACAGUUCAGAUAACUGGACCCAUUCCAGACUGCUAAGACCUACAACCCCAAAUUCUUCACCAGUUGCUGAAUGGGACCAAAGGACAAACAAUAGCCUGUGGACAAGUUAUGAGAGGUGAAGACCCGCCUGUGUAACAGCGAGACCAUGUCUCAAUUGAAAAAGAAAAACAACAACAACAACAAACAGAGGGAAUCCUUGUGACACACCACAUGCCGGGAAUUUCCCAAAGUGGGAAAAUCACAAGGAAGAUAGGCUAUCCAUCAAAAAAAUGACAGCUCCAGAGGCCCAUACCCCUUCACAUGGAGGAAACUGUCCAUCCUCGGAGGAUAAACCUACUUUGGGUAAUAUUGAGAUAGCCACUCACCCAAUGACACAGCUUUGAAGAACUUUUCAAAGUACGAAGAUACAACUUCAUCUGGAGACAACCCAUGUUGUGGAAUGGGAAGGGGGGUGUUACAGAAAAUAAAUGAUAUGCUUGGAUUCAGACUUGAGAUUUGGGGCUGGGAAGCAGAAGCUCCUGGCAAAACAUCAACCAUUAGCCCACACAAAUGACCCUGUUCAGGAUGCAGGAGAGGAAAUAAAUUGAAGACUAGAAGCCCUACUCCUCCACCUCCAUGGGACUCCACAAAAUCCACCAUCUGGUAUUAAAUGUGUGCACACACACA